CUUUUUGCGGUCUGGGCUUGCUGUUCCUCCCGCAGCACUCAGGAAGCCCUUACCCCAAAAAGUAU
rnacentral:pre_miRNA from 1 species